rnacentral:rRNA from 1 species
AUACGGAGGGUGCGAGCGUUAAUCGGAAUUACUGGGCGUAAAGCGCGCGUAGGCGGAUAAUUAAGUCAGAUGUGAAAUCCCCGGGCUCAACCUGGGAACUGCAUUUGAUACUGAUUAACUAGAGUAUGGUAGAGGUGAGUGGAAUUUCCGGUGUAGCGGUGAAAUGCGUAGAGAUCGGAAGGAACACCAGUGGCGAAGGCGACUCACUGGGCCAUUACUGACGCUGAGGUGCGAAAGCGUGGGGAGCGAACAGGAUUAGAAACCCUAGUAGUCC